UAAAAUUACAAAAUAGAUGAGUU
rnacentral:snRNA from 1 species